rnacentral:lncRNA from 1 species
GCGAGGUGUAAUGAAAAAAUAGUUAUGGUUGACUGCAAAUCCUUGUAUGAUGAACAGGUAACCAUUUGUAACCAUCUUAUAAGGAUACUGUGUUAAUAUAACACACGGACAUAAAAGUCGUAAAUAUCACUUUUCUGUUACAAAAUAUGACGAACAACUGUACAAUUGACCAUUUAAAGCACUAUUUGGUUUGCAAUAAGUUACAUGUAUUAUUGUCGACUUUCUUUAAAGUAGAAUACACUACAAUACAUAUGUAAUGGACGUGUCAAUAAGCUGAACCUUUUACUUGACCAAACAGGCAGAAAUAAUUUAACAUUUUAUCUUGUAAGACAAUUUUUGUUGAAAAGGUCAACGUUUUCGACUCUUCUAAUCUUGUUGUCUAUGAAAUCAGAUAUACAUACUUUUCUUAUUGCUUGAUUUGACAGGUAUUAUUUCUCAGAGUUGAGUUAUUACUAAUAUCAGGAACUUUAAAUUUAAAUACUGUCUAUGUUUCAGAUGAAGCGUUCAACGUCACAACCUGUUUGUCCCGAUUUGUCGGAACAGGUAAGCAUCUAAAAACAUAGAUGGCAAAAAAUGGAUAGAUGAGUUCAUUGUUAAUACAUGCUUUUUCUUGUCAUUACGUUAAUGUUUUUGUUGUCACAAAUCGUAUAAUUUGGUUUAUAUGGCAAUAAAAAGUUUGAUGUGAUAUGAUUUGUUAAUACGAAGUUCUGUUAGGAAUUUUGUAUAUCAAUGCUCUUCAACUUCGUACUUUAUUUGGCUUUUUUUUAAACUUUUUGAAUUCGAGCGUCACUGAUGAGUCUUUUGAAGACGAAACGCGCGUCUGGCGUAUAUAUAAAAUUUAGUCCUGGUAUCUAUGAUGUGUUUAUUUAUAGGCCAAAUUUAUCUAAAAACAAAGUAUUUCUUAAACUCAUUUAAAACAAAACACAAUGGUAUAACAAAGUAUAUUUAACCUAUUCUGGAAAUGUUCAAAUUUAAAGCACAAGGAUCAUUUAUGAGUUCUACUAUAUAAACGUCAAAUGUAAUGAACAAGAAAGAAAUGUUCAACGCAGCAGCAAUAUUCUGUUAAUAUGAUAAUUGGGCAAACUAAAUCUAGAAUUUAAAACUGAACAUUUGAAGACUUGAUGAAAGAAAAAAAAUCAUUGCAGCUUUAUAAAUGAUACAAAAGAAUUGAACAAUUUGAGAUUGUAAUUGAAUUUUUCAUAAAAAUGUCAAGUCAUACACAUAUCAUAAAAAACAUACGGGAAAAGCUUAUAUUGAAUAGAAAUAUCACAAAAUACAUUAAAUGAACAGUAUGGUAAUGAUUAAAUAUUCGUUCGAAUGGAAAAAGUUUGGCUUCAAGAAAAGAAGGACUAGCUGAUAAAUUGAGGUAACAGAAAAUUGCCUAUGUUCAGAAAUAAAAAUGAAAGUUUUCACACUUAUAAAGUAGUCAACAAUUGCCCUAAACUUAAGAAAUAAUAGACAUAUUCAUAUAUUUGUAUUUACGAUACAUGAACAUAUUGUAGACACAAUGUGCUGAAGAUGAAAUUGACAAAACGUUAGCUAGUUUAAAAACACGGAUUGGAGAUACACCAACUGUUCAGAAGGAAAGGUUUGUGAAUUGGGGUAAGACACAAUCUAUGGAGGUUAUUUCGUCUUCCCCUACAACAAAAGAAGAACUUCAAAAGUUGGUGUUAGCAGCAUCUGAAGAAGGUCUGAGUGUAAGAUGUGCUGGAAGAGGUCACAGCUGGGCUCCAUUAUUCUCGGACAGUAAUCAACUACUUAUUCAUGUAGAAGAUAUGAAAAGCGAUUACAAGGAUGGGUCUAAAAUUAGAAUAUCUGAUGUAAGCGUUAUUACACAAGUAUAUAAAAAAAUGUAUGCUUUGAAAACGUUAAUUAGACAUACAAAAUCGAAAUGAUUCUGAGGACAAUAAUCGGUCCAUCACAUUAGGGUCCAUUCAAUAUAUCAAAAGAAAUUUAGUAUAUUGUGGAUUAUAUAAAAAAGACAACAAAGAGAAGAUAACACCUACAUGGAUCGGAUGUGUUGUGAUAAAUAACAUCAUCAACGAUACACGGCUAUAUAAUUUGGACGUUAGUUGCGAGUAUUGUCUAACCAAGGUUGAUAGUGAUUCUCGAUUCAUAAAUUUAGAACAGUCAAAUCAAGUACAAUUACUAUUUUAUAAAUCAAGUAUGAAUAAAUGAUUCUAUAACAACACCUAUUAAAAUCCUGUCACGAUUUCUUGAUUUCCGAAGAAAAACAGACCUCAUUAUAUACAUAACCAGACUUAAUAUUUUUUUUGAAAAUGGUCAUGGCAUGUUCGUUUAUACUCUUGUUAUAAAAUGAAAAAUAAUAUUAUAUUAACGGCAUUUCAGCGUGAAAAAGGAGAAGUGGACAUUAUGACCGGAGCUACGACUGGAGAAUUUAAAAAGUUCCAACUAGAACACAAAGUGAAUAUACCUGGUAAUGCUGUUUUAGAUUGUGUUCAUAUGGUCAGUGUUGUAGCAACAGGUUGUCAUGUAAGUUUUCUUUUAAAUCAAUGUGUUGAGUGUUGAAUAUAAAAGCAUUCCAAUAUUAACUUCUUAUAGAAAUAUGUUCCAUGUAUUGCUAAGGUUAUAUUUAGGUACUGGGGGGGGGGGGUGACAUGACCAAUUAUUCGGCCCCAGAAGGAAAUUAAUAUAAAAAACAAACUUUAUUAUUAUACAUUACAUAUAUUUCAAACAAUUCUAUCACGUGACAUGGAAUAAUUCAGUUAAUUUUCAUUCAAUUGCAAGGAAGGACGAAUAACCCUAAAAAAAAUCCACCAGCGGUGAAUGACCCUAUUAAUCACCGGCGAAUAACCUUUUUAGUUAGCUGAUUUGUGGCCGUUUUUGGCACAACUUUUUUGAAAUUUUGGUCCUCGAUGCUGUUCAACUUUGUACUUGUUUUGGCUUUCAAACUUUUGUAUCUGGGCCUCACUAGUAAGUCUUGUGAGGAGAAAACGCACUUCUGGCGUAUUAAAUUUUAAACCUGGUGCCUUUUGUUAGCUAUUAUUUAUUUGUUUCUUUGUCAAUUGUGUUUUCCUAUUUAUUUUUAUUGUAGUCCUGUAAUGUUGUGUUGUCAUUUUAAUGUUAUAUUUAACAUGGCAAUAAAAGAGGCGGUUUUGCAUGCCACAAAACCAGGUUCAACCCAACAUUUUGUUCUUUAAAAAAUUUCCUGUACCAAGUCAGUAAUAUGUAAUAGUUCGUUUCUGUGUGUGAAAUUAUCUUAGAGUUCGGGGUUUUUGUUCUACGUUUAGACAUAUACUGUAUAAAUAUAUAGUUCGUAUGAAAUUUAGUUAAACAGUGUCAGAUCUGCAAAUCUGCUAGUCCUAAUUUUUUUCCUUUCCUAAGCGGGUUUCAAAUUCAUGCUUCUUUGAAAUUUUUAGGCUGCAUUUGAGAUGAAGUAAACACAAAUUAUGGUUUAAGCCCUGCAUUACCACAGGUAAUGACAUGUACAUUUAUGCCAUACAGUUUUUUAAUUUAUAGAUGGUUAUACGUAUAACAGUUGUUUAAUUUACAGAUGGUUAUAUGUAUAACAUGUAAUAUUUUGUUCAUAUAGGGUGUUGGAAAGGAUGUACAGACACCAGGUGAUGAUUUAGUGAGAAUGCGCGUAAUCGGAAGCGAUGGUAAACUGCGAACCUAUACAUCAGACGACAAAGAGAUGUUGAAAGCGAUAAGUUCAAACCUUGGAUGUUUUGGAGUUAUAUUCGACAUGACAAUAAAAUAUGUCCCUGAAGUUAUCGUAAAAGUAGAAAAUCGGUACGAGCCACUAAAAGAGUUAUUCUACAAACCUGAUAGUUUACAAAACCUAUUUGAGGAAAACUGGUCAGUUCAGAUUCUUUGGUUUCCUUACAACUCACUCUGCGUUUUUGAUUACGAUCCAAAAGAUGAUGAAUUAUGGAUCCGUGUAAUUAACAAAAAACCGAAGGACACAAAGAAAGUAAAGACAGAAACCCAAACAUACUACGACUGGAAAGAAACGAAAGAUUGUUUGACCGCAGAAGGAUUGUCGAUCGUGUCAUCAGUAGUAGUUGGAAAUCCUUCUUUGACUCCAUGGUUUGCGUGGGCAGCCUUUGGAAGUUUGAAGCAUAUCGUAUUUCCCAAAGGUCCACUGUAUCAGGAACUUCCUCACGCUGUUCAUUUUAGGUAAGACUGUUUCAUAUUUAUGAUUAAACCCCUAGAUAUGGAUAUGUUAUCGCAAUAACAUAACAUAGGCUACUAAUGUCAAACGAGGCACAGGCCAGGGAAGGAUUUCAACAUAACAAUAUUUGGCACAAGUAAUCCUAUACAUGCGUUUUCCAUGAAAAUCUAAUUGUAUAAUAAUGAAUAGAUAUAAUUUGUUUGGAAUAAGCUGAUUGAGUGGUUGGUAAUAUUUUAUGACAAUAAAAAUAUGAAGUAAUUUGAAUAUUUUUAAAACAUUUCUACGUAUUUGUGUUUUAUGGCAACAAUGUCGGACGCAUGCACGGUAUUUAAAUACAAAAUGACCUGUUUGAUUUUAUAGAAUGCAUCUUUGCUUAAUAACAUGUAGUACAUAUUUCAUUUGUAAGUUUAAAUUAUAGUUAUUUCGUUUCAAGGUAAACUGUAUUUAGCUAUGAUAUUCCAGUAAAAAAUACUUUUAAAUAGGUAACUCAUUAAUUAUUUGAUACCUUAAAAUUACUUUCACAGACAGUUUACUCAUAAGGCCCCUGUGAAUUGCAUGGAGUUUGCGUUCGACUACAAUCCUCAACGACUGCAGAAGAUUAUUCAAGUCGUGGUGGAAAAAGUAGAUCAUCACGAAGAUAAAGAUGAGUAUCCAUUGAACCUUGUUAUGGAAAUGCGCCUGAUGGGUUACAGGUAAAUAUAAACAAAGAAAUAACGUUAGUAUUUAUAUAAACACGUUUUCAAUAUUUUGUCAACAUAACACCAAUCCUUAAUUAUUUGAAUAAGUACUAUAACCUUACUAUCUUACUACAUACAGGAACAUUAUUGUGGCAAAAUAGGCAACUGUCUACCUCUUAAUUUUAAAAUGUGAUGUUGUAUUUUGUUUUUUCAAAGGUGUCUUUUAAUUAUAAAUUCUUAAUUUAAUUACAGUGACUCAUUUCUUUCUCCUGCUAUAAUCGGAAAUCCAGCAUAUGGUGGAUCUGGUUGCACUUUUACAAUAGAAGUUUUAAGUAUUGUCGACACCAAAGGAUGGAAAAAGUUUGCCACAGACGUAGGAAAAGAGUGGAUGGCUUUAGAUGGUGUUCCACAUUUAGCAAAGCAGUGGGACUUUCUUCCUGGUAUUGAGGAUCAUAUCUACAAGGUAAGAAAUAAAGAGAAGCUAUGUGAUUAGAAAAGUGAAAUUGAAACUUGAAUUAAAGACCAAAAUUUUUGUCUGGUCAGCAACAUUAUUGAUACCAUCAGUCCGUCAGCAGCUAUAGAAAGUACACAAUUAUAUUAUUGAAUUACUUUGACAAACAAACUUGAGAAUGCAAAUGGGGAAUGUGUCAAAGAGACAACAACCCGACUAUAGAACAGACAACAGCAGAAGGUCACCAGUAGGUCUUCAAUGCAGCGAGAACUUCCCGCAUCCAGAGGCGCCCUACAGUUUGGCCCUAAACAAAUAUAUAUAUACUAGUUCAGUGAUAAUGAACGUCAUACUAAACUUCAAAUUAUAGACAAGAAACUAGAAUUAAAAAUGAUACAAGACUGACAAAGUCCAAAAACUUGUUUAAAUUCAUGUAAGACACAAAGUGCAUUCUAUUAAUUUUUUUACACUUACAUUUAAUAUUUAUUCAGCUUUUGGGCAUUUAAUUUAGAAAACCAAAAUCACCAUGUUUUUGCAUUAAUUAUCAAUGAAUCAACACAAGCAAUUUAUCAUAUGGUCUACCCCAUUUGACAAACCGGACUAGUUUUCUCGUUUUAAUUGUUUUAGAUUUAUCAUUUUGAGGCUUUUUAAAGCUCCCUAUACGGUAUGGGCGUUGCUCAUUGUUGAAUGCUAUAAGGUGACCUAUAGCUGUUAUUGUCUGUGUCAUUUUGGUUUCUUGUUGGGAGUUGUAAAGUUGACAAUUAAACCACGUCUUUUUUUAAUAUGUAGAAUUGCAUUGCCAUUUAAGCGCUGUUGCCACGAUUUCUUAGAAGCUUGAAAUUACAUCUUGCGAAGGAAUGAAAUAUUUUACAAUGCUAGAUCUUGCCCAUUAAUCAUUACUGUUGUAGUCUAAGUAUAUAAAAAAAGAAGAAGAUGUGGUAAGAAUUUAAAAGUUACAACUCUGUACCAGAUCUUAUGUAAUUAGCUAUAGGUCACAGCAUAGCAAAAUAUGAUCGGACGAAGAAUGUUUGUCCUAUAACGUUUUACGCUAAACACUCAUUAUCCUAUGAUCAACAUUUAGGGCCUUAAAUAGCUGACUAUACGAUAUUGGUGUUGUUCAUUGUUGACCUAUAUGUUAAUUUCUGUAUCAUAUUGGAUCUAAUGGAGAGCUGUGUCAUUGGCAAUCAAAUCACAUCUUCGUUUUUUUUAUAUCAGAGUUAAGAUCUUCUAUCGUUUUUGGCAUUGACAUUAUAUUAACUCCAAAAAUAUGAAAUAAAUUUUUAUUGAUUAACCAUGUAUAACAUAAACUCUUCUUUCCAAAUCUUGCAGCAUAUGGGACAACAUAUCGACGCAUUCAAGGAGCAGCUGACGAAGUCUGGCGCUGAUCCAAAUGGAAUGUUUCUCAAUAAAAGCAUCCGAAAACUGUUAAGACUGUAGCAUGUCUGACCUAAACUUGACGAAUGUGUGUGCUGUGAUAUUUUGAAGUAAUUUGCCAAAUUAUAGAAACUGAGCC